ensembl:lncRNA
GACAGCUGUGCCCGGUGCUUUUGUAACCAUAACCCCACGCCGCAGGUUUGCUGAUGAAAAUCCAACGACCGGCAAUGCGGUACGGAAGGGAGAAGGCUGCUCAGCAUCCGUGUUCUCCCAGAGCGGAGUGCUGAGGGGUUUUUCCAUCUCACCUUCCUGACGGCCACGGCAAAUUCCAAGCACUCCCGAGCGCUGCCGGCUCGCUGCAGCGCAGAACGCUCGGAGCCACGCGUGCUCUCAGUGAUGCGCCCCUUCCGAAACGCGCCCGAGACCUCCGGGCGCAGCCCCUUUUCCACUAGAGGACAGUGCCACACCGGGAAGGACAGCCGUGCCCUCGGUGAUGCCCUCAGCCUGCAAUUCAGGGCUCUCUUUGAGCCAGAUCUGUUGAGCAGAACAGCAGCAAAAGCAAGAAGCAAACAGCCCGUAGCAAGGAACAAAGGGAAGAGGAAGGCUGGAGGGUCCCGUCCGGCUGUUGCAGCCCUUUUGCUCUGUCUCUGCACAAAGACAUUUAACAGCCACGUGGGAAAGGUUUCCUCAUGGGGCCAUCAUUACUGCCCAAACCUGGGAUGUGUUGCUGGGUCUCGGCUUCCCAUUGGCAAACCUCUUCUCUGGCAACGUGCAGCAGGAUCCCAAAAGGAACCAAAGGUUGAACUCCGGGCAGCAGCCUGCAGUGACCUGACCAGCAGGCAGCACACUGUGUGCAGCCGUGUGCUUUAUCACCUUCCCUUCGUACACAUCCCACGUCGGGAGGGGAUUAAGCAGCAUUAACUGCCUGCCCAGGGCUCCAAUCUGCUGGAGGAUCCAGAGAAGGGGAACGGGUCGGCUUGGCUUGGUCCCAAGCAAAGGACAAAGGGAAGGGCUCAUUGCGUUGUGCCAGCUGCUGCCUGCUCCCAAACGAGCCGUGGUGGGGGGACGGCAGCACUGCAGCCUUGAGAAGACAGCCUGGUGGGAUGAGCCUACAGCGUGGGGUGGUAACCCCAAAGCCACCCGUUGCCAAAGGGUGAAGCUGAAUCUCCCCAUUCACAUCCAUCAGGCUGCUCCCCUGAGUGAUCAUCCCAGCAUCUGCUGUGCUUUGUCUUCACACCUCCUUCCAGCCCAGCAGGCCCUGCAGCCAUGGCAGUGCUCAGAGCACAGCAACAUACUGUGCAUCCCAAGAACUGAGACCUGCAGCAGGAAGCCAGCAAACAAAGCCAUCUCCCCAAUGCUGUAACCCCAUCAGCACUGCUCCAUCGCCAUGCCCACAGCUGUUCCACCAGGGGAAGCAGGCAGCAAAUUUGGAGAGCAGCUCUAUGCUUCAUGUGCAGGAAGAGUAGCACAGGGAGGAGGCAGAUCAUUAGGGCUACGUUUCCUAGGAGAUUUUCACACACUUAAAUGUGAGGAGGGGGGGGAGAAUAAGGCAUGAACGUAUUGUGCAGGCAGAAGGUAAAAAUCCCACUGGCACUUCAGAUCUGCUGAGCUAAACUACUGGUGGGCCACCACAGUGCACCGUAAUUGGGCUUAUUGUGUCCUCUUCUCCACGUCACAUGCACAGAAUGACAGCAGGAGAGCAAAGCACGUUGCUCAGAUGCUGAACAGCACAUCCCACAGGAGUUCCAGCAGCCAGGUCCUUGCUUACAACAUCUUCAAGGCCCAUAGUUGGCCACCCAACAGCACAGGGGAGGUUUAGGUUGGAUAUGAGGAGGAAGUUUUUCACCCAGAGAGUGGUGACGCACUGAACAGGUUGCCCAAGGAGGCUGUGGAUGCCCCAUCCCUGCAGGCAUUCAAGGCCAGGCUGGAUGUGGCUCUGGGCAGCCUGGGCUGCUGGUUGGCGACCCUGCACAUAGCAGGGGGUUGGAACUAGUGAUCACUGUGGGCCUUUUCAAUUCAGGGCAUUCCAUGAUGCUAUGAUUCGGUGAUAAUGCCAAAAGCAGUGAUAGCGAGGCAGGUGGGAUACCCAGCAUCACCUGUUUUAGCUGAAGGAAACACACUGACCUCAAUAGCAGUCACUUCAACAAGACAUGGGCUCAUGGAAGCAAUACAUAACCCCAAACAAAUUUCCCCUCUGUGUGGGUAUAACCCGAGCCUGAUUAUCAAGCAGGCAAGAACAGCCUUUAAUCACGAAGCCUUGAACUUUGCUUUAGCAGGGAGAGCAUGGAUCACUGCAGACAUCCUGCCUGUUAUUCAUCAUCUCCUAAUACACAUCCUAAAGCAGCUGCUCCUCUGCUUUCAUCGUCCUGAUGGAUGCUUCUCACCUGGGAGGCAAUGGGCUCCCAAUGGCUGCAGUGCUUACAUUGGGAGAGAAGGGAAAACCAGCAGAGAGAGAGCCUGGGGUCACAAAGGGGGUCUCAGUCAUUGCCUUACACUGAAUUAAACACAUCCUAAAGCCUCUGCUCUCCUUCAUCUGCAUCAGAGUUCCAUUCCAGCACCUGCAUCAGCCCUGGGUUCAGUGCGGGUGCUGCAGUUGCCCAUCCAUGCCAUGGAUGCAGGUUUGCUAGCAGGGUUUCUCAUGGGAGGAAACACCUCCCGUUCCUGCAGGCUGCAGAGAAUGAGAAAUCACACACACAGAUCAGAUUCCCACUGUAGGGAGCAGUGCUCAGCACCUGCCCCACCUGCUUACAGGGGGACUUCGGCACGGAGAUGUCCUACAGCGGCAUCAGGAGGGGGAAAAACACCACAAAUAAAUGGAAAAGAGAAAAGCAGCCACCCCAAACCAUCAGCUUCCAGCCUCGAAAUGGAAUCUUGUGGGUUUUUAUUAUUGAUUUAAG